CGGACGGGUGAGUAAUGUCUGGGAACUGCCCGAUGGAGGGGGAUAACUACUGGAAACGGUAGCUAAUACCGCAUAACGUCGCAAGACCAAAGAGGGGACCUUCGGGCCUCUUGCCAUCGGAUGUGCCCAGAUGGGAUUAGCUAGUAGGUGGGGUAACGGCUCACCUAGGCGACGAUCCCUAGCUGGUCUGAGAGGAUGACCAGCCACACUGGAACUGAGACACGGUCCAG
rnacentral:rRNA from 1 species